AUUGAACGCUGGCGGCAUGCCUUACACAUGCAAGUCGAACGGUAACAGGUCUUCGGAUGCUGACGAGUGGCGAACGGGUGAGUAAUACAUCGGAACGUGCCUAGUAGUGGGGGAUAACUACUCGAAAGAGUGGCUAAUACCGCAUGAGAUCUACGGAUGAAAGCAGGGGAUCGCAAGACCUUGUGCUACUAGAGCGGCCGAUGGCAGAUUAGGUAGUUGGUGGGAUAAAAGCUUACCAAGCCGACGAUCUGUAGCUGGACUGAGAGGACGAUCAGCCACACUGGGACUGAGACACGGCCCAGACUCCUACGGGAGGCAGCAGUGGGGAAUUUUGGACAAUGGGCGCAAGCCUAAUCCAGCAAUGCCGCGUGCAGGAUGAAGGCCUUCGGGUUGUAAACUGCUUUUGUACGGAACGAAAAGCCCUGGGUUAAUACCCUGGGGUCAUGACGGUACCGUAAGAAUAAGCACCGGCUAACUACGUGCCAGCCGCCGCGGUAAGAC
rnacentral:rRNA from 1 species